AAAACCUUUAACUAAGUCCAGAGAGGCUUGCAAGGAUACGGAAAAUUUAUCUUGGAUUACUGACAAACUAAGGAUGAACUUCUUUUUUAGCGUAUUUGUCUGUCAGUAAAUGACCAAUUUUUUAGUACACUUGUAAGUUCUCUUACAAGUGUUUUUUUAU
rfam:Lactococcus lactis subsp. cremoris TIFN6 scaffold28.1_1, whole genome shotgun sequence.